rnacentral:rRNA from 1 species
GAUUAAGAGCUUGCUCUUAUGAAGUUAGCGGCGGACGGGUGAGUAACACGUGGGUAACCUGCCCAUAAGACUGGGAUAACUCCGGGAAACCGGGGCUAAUACCGGAUAACAUUUUGAACCGCAUGGUUCGAAAUUGAAAGGCGGCUUCGGCUGUCACUUAUGGAUGGACCCGCGUCGCAUUAGCUAGUUGGUGAGGUAACGGCUCACCAAGGCAACGAUGCGUAGCCGACCUGAGAGGGUGAUCGGCCACACUGGGACUGAGACACGGCCCAGACUCCUACGGGAGGCAGCAGUAGGGAAUCUUCCGCAAUGGACGAAAGUCUGACGGAGCAACGCCGCGUGAGUGAUGAAGGCUUUCGGGUCGUAAAACUCUGUUGUUAGGGAAGAACAAGUGCUAGUUGAAUAAGCUGGCACCUUGACGGUACCUAACCAGAAAGCCACGGCUAACUACGUGCCAGCAGCCGCGGUAAUACGUAGGUGGCAAGCGUUAUCCGGAAUUAUUGGGCGUAAAGCGCGCGCAGGUGGUUUCUUAAGUCUGAUGUGAAAGCCCACGGCUCAACCGUGGGAGGGUCAUUGGAAACUGGGAGACUUGAGUGCAGAAGAGGAAAGUGGAAUUCCAUGUGUAGCGGUGAAAUGCGUAGAGAUAUGGAGGAACACCAGUGGCGAAAGGCGACUUUCUGGUCUGUAACUGACACUGAGGCGCGAA